rfam:Bacillus shackletonii strain LMG 18435 super11, whole genome shotgun sequence.
UGAGUCCUGAUGUGUACGUUGUGACACCUUAUCGUUUUGACCGAACAUAUCUACCUUCGGGAGUUCGGAGUUUCCAACUGGCAUACAUGCCUUUAUGGAAGGACGUAUAAAAGCUGGGGCAGAACACCCACCUGCGAAAGAGCGGGUUCAAGACAAAAGGAUUUUUGUUGACGGCAUGAUUGGGGCUCAU